ACUAAACCAGCCACACGCAUAAUCCCACAAAACGCUUGAUUAAACUUCCUGUCUGUCAAUCUAUCCCUCCUUCUGGGAUAGACACAGUACCCACAGUGGUGUGGAUGGACACUGCAGUUCUGUUUACAUUUUUGUAUUUCUUUCAUGUCUAACUUGAUUGGAGGUGGACUACGACUAAACUAAAAGUACAGCUACGACUUCAACGCGAUGUUGAUGUCGAUGCUACCGACGGACGACGACGAUGCACGUUUGUAUGGUGAAGUAAGCAUUAAACCAAGAACUCAAAUAAAGUCAUUGUUAGGAAACACAAAUAAUAAUAAUUAUAGGUUGUUUACAUUCAUCUCCCAAGCUAGAUUCCCGCUUGCUACCCUCUAAUCUUAUAUGCAAAGCAAGAGAUCGGCUGUUGUCCCGUCCCGUCCCGUGUACAUUUGAACUAAUUUAAAGACAUUACAAAAAGAAAAUAGACAUCACGUUUGGGUUCAUUGAGUUUGAAGACUCAUUGCAUCGCAUGCGGAAUUAGAUGCGGCGUAAUAUAAAUGUUUAACUAAUAGCAAAAAAAGAGCGUAAUCAUUUUAUGUCGUAAUAAUACGCCAAUCCAAAAUUCAUUUUUCACUCAAUGCGACUGCACUGUAUGAUGAACUUGCAUGUUAUUUAGUAUGGUCGCUAGCACCAUUGGACACACGCAUAUUAAUUAAGAUUGACUUGAUAUAAAUUUGCAUCGUGCACAAUAUUGUUUUAUGACAAGCGAAUUGUGAACAGACUGGUUGGGUGGUAUCGUAUCGUAUCGUAUCGGUCGGCUUCCCAAUAGCAUUAGUACACACAGUAAAUAUGGCUUUGUUCCAAAAAGGAUGUGAUAUUUGUAGUAAUUUGCUUGUUCGGGAAAUCACAAAGAUAAAGGAUUCAAAACUUGAUAAUAUUUGAACGUAGGCUUAUCAGAAGAGCUUAUGAAUCGACAUUUUGGUUGGACUGUUGGUUAAAGAGAAGAACCAUGAAUUGGAAAAAUUGCAAAUGACAAACGACUAUAUUUUAUGAUGUUGGAAACAUGUAUUCCAAACCAAGACCUCUUUACAAUAUUCCAAAUCUACUACAUCGUGCAGAAAAGCAGUCCCUUUUUUUAAACGUGAGAAGGAAUAUCUCCCAAUCUCCAUUACACUACAUCAGCUCUACAAUAGUAUUAUUGAAAUACUUCUGGUUGUGCAAAGAACUUAAUGAAUUUAUUUAAUUAAAUCCUCUUCGAGAUUAGUAUGGUCAUGAUUAUGACGCAUUUAUUGAAGCAAAAUUUAAUAGAACUAAGGUAUUACAUAAUAUUGACUAAGAAAGUGAAUAAAUAAAAUUAAUUACACAAA